rnacentral:lncRNA from 1 species
UAUUUAUCUUAUUUAAGAUUACUAGUUUGUAUGUUUCGUGAGUUAUUUCUUGUUUUUGAGAAUACAUAUUAUUUGACUAACUCUUAAGCCACCAUUGUUACCAAUGGCAAAUUAUAACUUGUUCAUCCUGAGUUCAAAAGGUGAUUGAAAAAAAAACAAUUUAUUAGAUCAUUUGUUUUAUUCGUAAGAAUUGUUGUAUGUACAUUUACUGCAACUGUUAUCAUGUAAACUCAUAAAUGUCAAAUUGCAGCUUUUGUGUUAAUGAUAUAUUCUUAAUUAAUUUCAAAAUGCAUCUGUAAAACAGAAAAUCAUCUGAUACUAACUUUUACACAUCGGCAAAAUAUUUGCAGUCUUAUAAUGGUAUUAGGUUGUGGUAGACGUCCCAAGACAUUUGGUGUCAAUACAGUAAAUUGUGUAUAAGUGUAAGGAUCUCUCUGAAAUUGUAAAACAGGAUUGAUACUACAAUUGGAAGAUUGGGAGUGAUUUUGGGGGUUAUUGUCCUUACUGUUUAGGAUUGAGGGGCCAAAAAGCAAGCAUUUUUGUAGUUUCAGGGCGGAUAGUUGUGCAUAAGUGAAUGGAUAUCUAUGAGAUUGUACCACAGGGUUCAAUCUUUAGAAAGGUCGGGAUUGAUUUAAGGGUUAUAGCCUAGACUGUUAAGUAAUUAGCGGCAUAAUACAAGGAUUUUCUAGUUUUCAGACGAAAAAGUCUAUGACACUAACCGUUUGUGAACAAGAGUCCAAAGACUUUAAAUUACAAUGCUUUGUAUAAACUGUUUAUUUCUUGACGACCAAUGUCAAUUUGGGUUUAUUUCAAAGACUUGAAUUUUGAGUACCUGUGUAUGUAGAUUUUGGAUUUUGGGCGCUGUUUUUAGUUGGUCCACAUUAAUGGCACAAAGGGUUUAAAAUUAAACUUCGUAUGAUUUCAUUAAAAAUUGAAUAAUUGGGGUUAUUUGAAAUGCCGAAUCUAAAUGUGUUUAAGAAUUUUGAUUUUGGACCCAGUUUGUAUACGACCAUUGACAUCCAAAACGUUCAAUACUAAACUUUGCUUGAUUUUAGGAAAAAGUGAAUUCUAGGGGUUCUUUGAUAUGCUCAAUCUGCCGUAUGAGGCAGUAUGAGGGAUACAGGCUAUUAAGAACUCUGGUCAAAAAUUUUGAAUUUGGGCCUGGUUUUGAAAUUGGUUCUCAUUUAAGUCCAAAGGGUCAAAACUUGGGUUUUAUUUAUACAACAUUCAUAGGGUUACUUGAAUUUAUGAAUUGAUGAAUCUUAAUAUGUAUUAGGUUUUGGAUAUUGGACUAUAAAGGGUAAAUGUCCAAUUUUUAAAUGUUAAGUUAUUUGACCACAUUCGUCAAUGUGUCGAAAAACUUUUCUGGCCAAAUAUUAAAUCACAAUCAAAAUUCAGAGCUGUAACAAGCUUUAUGUUGUGUCCAUACUUGCCUUGACUAUUAAGGGCUCGACUUCUGCAGUUGUAUCAAGCUGCCCCCUGCGGAGCCUUUUAUUAAAAAUAUGUUCUUGUCUAUUGAAAACUUUGACUGAUAACCAAAUUUAGUCAUUAUUUGCUCAUUUUUAACAAUUGUAGCGAAUCACUUACCUAUGAUCAACUUUGCCAAAGCUAUCACAGAAAAUAGAACUUAGAGAAUUCAGAUAAAAAUAGUCCUUUUAUCAACAAAGAUUUAUAUAAGACCAGGUGAUACAGAUGUUCUCGUGGUAGCUACUUUAGAUGUUACCCCAUGAAUAUUGCAUUUAAUUGUAUUACAAAGCAGUAUGAGGGAUAUUAAGAACUCUGGUCAAUACACAUUCAAAAUAAGAAAUAGUUAUGAUAUGUUAUCAUGUCUUUUUUUUUUAAUAAACUAU